GCUAUUGAGUUAGCUGCAGGGUUAAGUGAGGCAUCUCUCUAACAAGGAAAAGCAUUGUGACCCAGAGUAUUCUUAGUGAUUGAAAGGGCUGGGAUAAAUCAAAACACAAUUUUUUUUUUUUUAAAGUAAGAAAACACUAGCUGACAAAGGAGGAACAAAAUUGCAAAUGUUUCUUCAUUCAUUUAUAAUAGUGGACCAGUUGCCUCUGCUUCAUCUCUAUCAGCUACUCUCCCCAGCCUCCCAAAACCUGAAGUUAGAGGAAGUGGAAGGCAGGGAGAUAUUUUGAACAAAAUUGCUUCCUUGAACUUUGUUUAAAAGUGUUAGAAGUGAAGACUAAAAGAGGAGUUUAGUCACUGUUCUCACUUCAGGUAUCCAAGGCCAGAAAUUAAACCUGCUCUUGGAGAGGGGAGAAAAUAAGGUUGAGUGUGAGAUUUUAUGUUUAAACUCAACUGAAGCUUAAUAACUAAGUGACCAGAAAUCAGUGGAAUCUGCUAACGAUGUCAUUAAAGGUUUUGAAAAGGAGCAUUACAGAAUAUUUAAGGUCAUUUUUGAUAAAAAAUGCAUUGAUUAGAAUUUAUUUCAACUGAAUUUAUUUGCUCAGGAAGUCAAUGUUGUAUUUAAUGUUCUAAAAGGAGUUUCCAAUAUAAAACAAAUGCUAAACAUAUCCUUUUGUUUGUUAUAGCAUUACAAGUAUUGUGUGUGUGUGUGUGUAUUUUGUCUUUUUUUACUCAGUUUAAUGAUUUAUACCAUUUCAUAAAUCUGUCCCAGUCUAAGUUAUCAAAUGUGUUGACAUAAGUUUGUUAAUUUUUCUAUAUUUCUUUUAAUUUAUGUUGAAUUGGUAUUUGUCACAUUGGCUGCUCAUAUCCAUAUUUCAAAAUCUCUGCGUUUCCUAUCACUACUGUAACAAAUUACCAUAAUUUAAUGGCUCAAAACAGUAUCAAUUUAUUACCUUAUGGCUCUAGAAGUCAGAAUUCCUAAAAUCAAGUGUCAGCGGGCUGUACCCCUUCUUGAGGUUCAAAAGCGUACCUGAGUUCAUGCCUUUUUUAGCUCCUAGAGGUUACCUGCAUACCUUGGUUUUUGAACUCUUCUUCAUGGCCGGCAAUAUAGCACCUUCAAUAUCUUUCUCUUUCUCUCCCAUCUCUCUCUUACCUCUGCUUCUGUUGUUGAUCUCCUUCUCUAAUUCAGACCCUUCUUUCUUCCUUUUAGGAUUCUUGACUAUACAAGGCUACCCAGAUAAUCCAACAUAAUCUUUCAAUCUUAAUGUCCUUAAAUUAAUCACUUUUGCAAGGUGUCUUUUCUUAUUCAAUAUCUUGCAAUAACCUACAAUGGAGAAUAACCUAAAAUUUAUAUAUAUUUGCUGUUUGCCUGACACUCUUAUAACAUUGUAAGUUAACUAUAUUUCAAUAAAAUUGUAAAGAAAUAAAAAAGAAAAGCAUAGCACUGGGAUACAAAAGAAAAAAAAGUAAAAGCCUAUUAGACAUUCAGAAAAAAAAAGAAAGAAAGGUAUGGAACUGAGUAAUGAGUUAGAGAACAGGUCUUACAUCUUCAGUAGAAACUUGAAUAUUUAAUGAGUAGGGGAGGAUAGGUUUCAAAGAAAAUUGAGAAAAAAUAUGUGGAGCGGUAAAAUACGGGAAGCUGUAUAUGACAGGCAAAAUCACUGUAGGCCUCAUAUCUCUGCCCCAUUGUUACUCCUAUUGUUACGUGUCACCAUAAGGCAGAAGUAAUGGAUGAGAGUCUCUUGUUUACAUUAUCUUAUAUAUCAAAAUGGAAAGAAUUUUUCAGAUAUGAUAAGUGUUCUUCAUAAUCUGUUAACUAUAUGAAAUCAAAAGGGAAAUUAUUCUGGGUGGUCCUGGCCUCAUCAUGAGAAUACUGCAAAAGGGACCCAUUUAACUGAUGGCCUCAAAGAAGCAAGCAGCCAUAUAAUGAAUUGCUUAUGGAAAAGAGCAGCCUUUGGGAGCUAAGGGCCUCAGUCCUAUACCAACAAAGAAACUAAUUCUGCCAACAACCUAGAAACUUAUUUAGAGCUUCAAAAAGGAGCUCUAGAUGAUGAGCUCCUGAUGAUGACACACUCUUAUCCACAACUUGACAGACUACAGACAGUUGGCGAGAGAUGAUUUAUUUUAAGCUUGUCAAUAUUUUUCUUUUUCUUUUCUUUUUUAACACAAGAGGGCUGGAAAUGUUUAAAGCCUCUUUAAAGAUUUAAUUGAGGAGAGACCAAAGAGUAAGGUGAUUCCCACAAGAGCUUCAAUUCCAUCUUAAAUCUUUUCUUAUUAGAGCUAACAUUUUCAGUGAUUAUUCACUUAAAUGUAAGCCUCUGAGCAUAAAAUUUUAAAAAUAUAAAAUAAGCUUCUAUUUAUCUUUCUUAUAGGAAAGUGUGAUUUUAUAUACUUUUGCAUUUGAUACAUUUACAAGAACCAAAUUUUGUUUAAAUGUCUAUCAUGAUGAAUUAGUUUUUUAAUCUUUUAUUUGUAGCUCUUUCAACUGAUGAUAUCACAAAAAUGAUGCAUUGCCCUGUAUCCAGGGUGAUCUGAAAUACAUUUUUAGAAAUUCAAAUAUUUUAAUCAAUGCAUGAUACAUUUUUUCUCUCAGCUAUUGGUAACUCUGAUAAAGGGAAAAAACUUACUCGAAGCAAUUACUUAUUUUUGAAAAGAGGAAUGUGUAAAGUAUAAUUCCUAAGGAAUUUAUCAUAUAUUCAAUAGCAAGCAUUUGGACAUUAGUAACAUGACAAGGCAAUUACCUAUAUGUUAAGAGUUAUUUAAGGUAUUACGAGAUUAAAAUACACUUUUAUACACUGAACCUACAGGCCUCAAGUAUUUAAAUUUCACAUGUAAUGAGAAAUAUAUUUUGAGCCUUCAAGCAUAUUUUCCCUCUGGUAAUUACUUGUAUAAAAAAUAAUCAUUUGCAUGACAGGAAUUUCUGUAUCCUGUAAUAUAUGGUGAUUUGUAAUAAUUUAGAAAUUUACUGUAGUCAUAAGAAUAAAAUAAUGACAUUUGGUAUUUUUGUUAUAAUAAAUAUCUAUGUUUAUAUAAAAGAGAAUUAAAAAAAGAAAGAUAAUUCCUAGAAUUUCAUCUUAUCAAAGUGAUAUUAUGGGAAGGAAUGUGAAUAAUCUUUAUAAAUGUGUGCUAAUACACAUGCAUAUUAAGUAACUAGAGAAAACUUUGUGAAAUAAACUUACUUAAAAAAUAUAAAAUAAAACUUGAAAAAUACAUAGAGCUGUUGUGUGAGCUUAUAAAGAUACUGGGAUAGAAUGGACAAUGACUAUUGCUUUAAUGUUUUUUUUUUUUUUUUAAUUUUAGGCUUCACAUAAUGUCACUAGAAAUCUGAUAUGUUUCUUCCACCUAAUUAAUUGUUAGGUGUCAUGUAUCUUUCUUAUUAAAAAUUCUAGUGUUUUGCAUAUCAGCAGAAUAUGAAAAAAGUUAUGCCUCACUGUACUGUUUAAUGUUACAUGCCAUAAACUCCGAAAAGAGGGUUGGAACGUACCCUUAUCAUGAUAUUUGUUGAAGUAGGAAAUAUUACAAAAUAAGACCCAAUAAGGGACAUGUCACAGUUUGAUGUCAUUAAUAUUCAGAUAAACAUAAGCAGAAAUAUUCUUGGAACUGACUGAAGAUGCUUAUUCCACAGCUUAUUAUGUGGAAUAAGCACAAUGGGCUCCCAAAGACAUAUUCUUAAGUUGCUGGGGUUUCUUUUGCUUUUUUUUUUUAAUGAAAUGAAUGCUUACUGUGGUAUAUGGCAUGAACCAGUGGGGACCUGCUGUACAGCACAGGGAACUCUACCCAUUAGUCUGUGAUAAUCUAUAUGGGAAAAGAAUCUGAAAAAGAAUGGAUAUUUGUACAUGUAUAACUGAAUCACUUUGUUGUACAGCAGAAAUUAUCACAACAUUGUAAGUCAACUCUACUUCAAUAAAGCUUUAAAAAAUGAAAAAAAUAAAUAAAAUGAAUGGUGAAGUGUCCCUCAAGUUAUGUGAGAGUCAGAACGACCUAUAUAUGAUUAUUAAUACUUUUUAACACACCCACACACAGCAACUGGUUAAGCUGGUUUCCGCAGAGAUAGGUCUAUCUAAUAUCAGGCUUUAAUAUGAGGGUUAAUUCUAGUUUAUUAGAAUCCCUAGAAAUAAAGAAAUAUUUUAAAUUCAAGCAAUUAUAAUCCAUGAGUUGUAGCAGAGCUACCACUAGAAAUACAAAAAUAUGAUUUUCAAAAUUUCAGAACUUUUUAUAGCAAAACUACAGUUAUUAGUAAUAAAAUAUCAGUUAUUAGUAAUAAAAUAAAGCACAAAAUUAUUACAGAUAUGGAAUUUGUUAAUUUAUCUAGUGUCCUUAUCUUUUGUCAAUAUAAAUACCAGAUGCUCCAUUGUGUUUAGUCAAUAUAUUUAUUUUUAGUAUAUGCAAUAAAAAAGAAAACUUUUUUUUAUAUUGAUGUCACUAUUUACAGAUGAAUGAUAAAGGUGUGGACUUGGUCUGGCUGGCUGGGAAUGAGUCAGCAUUCUUACCAGCUGGUGACCUUGAAUUAGAAAAUCUCUCAUUGUCUCAGUUUUUUAAAUGUUAAGUUGGAUAUAAUGAUAGUGUAUAAUUUACAGAAUUGUUGUGAGUAACGAAUGCUUUAAUAUAUGUGAAGUACUUAGAACUGAGCCUGGAAGGUACUGAGUGCUUUAAAGAUAUUGGCUCCAAGUAACAAGGCUAGUGAAAGUAUUUCCUUCCUUAGGCAAUAAAGAAUGCUUUAUCCACAUUUGAAUUGUCUAAGUAUUCUCCAUGUCAUGAUCACAGAUGCAUAAAUUAAAAAUUAAAAAUAUUUAAGAAGUACCUAAGAUAUACUAGAUUCAGAUUUGAGAGGUGAAAAGCUUUCAAAACUAUUAAUAUUUUUGGACUGGCAAACCAUGAUUUUCCUGUAUCUAUUCAACAUUAAUUAUGUGGAACUUUAUUUCUG
rnacentral:lncRNA from 1 species